rnacentral:rRNA from 1 species
CCCCUAGAUGCUCUGGGCCGCACGCGCGCUACACUGGUCGAUGCAACGAGUUUCUUUCCUUGGCCGACAGGCCUGGGCAAUCUUUGAACAUCGAUCGUGAUCGGGAUAGAUUCUUGUAAUUUUUGAUCUUAAACGAGGAAUUCCUAGUAAACGCAAGUCAUCAGCUUGCAUUGAUUACGUCCCUGCCCUUUGUACACACCGCCCGUCGCACCUACCGAUUGAAUGGUCCGGUGAAGCCUCCGGAUUGGCGCGCACCUCGGUGCCGCCGAGAAGUUGGCUAAACCUUACCAUUUAGAGGAAGGUGAAGUCGUAACA